rnacentral:lncRNA from 10 species
GUAUUUGAAUUUGUGGCGCUUGGUGUCCGCGAGUUGCCGAAUGAAGCUGAGCGUCUCAGUGGAACCAGGGAUCUCAGGGAUACAGAUAAGCUGAUUCUAAAACUUACAAGAAUGGCAAAGAAACAAGAAGAGCUUAAACUGCAAUCAUCAACAGAGAAGCUUUCUGCAACCAAAGUGAAGACUGAAGCCUUAGGCUAUGGCAGAAGUUGGGCGCCUGAAGUACACGUGGAAAUAUGCCAACUGAACAUUGGACUACCACGUCAAGGGUCUCCUACCCCUGGGCCAUGGAUCAAUACCAGUCUGUGACCUGUUAGGAACCGGUAGCAGGAGCGCCUGCCCCUGGCUCAGCGCCCGGUGCCAACAGAACACCUUUCAGGAUCCACAGCAACGCAGACAACGGAACUCACAAGGGCUUCGGUUCUCAAGAGGCCAUCAAAACAUAACUGCUGCCGAGACAAUACCUUUCCUUCCCCUCACUACAUUCACUGAAUGUUCUGGAUCAGUGCGUCUCACACCUUUGGAUCUUAUAAGCUACUUGGAAAAAUUUUAAAGCACCUGAUGGAUUUGGAAAAUAUUUAAUGAAGACAAUGAUGCUGACAUCUCAAGUUAAAAGAGAUAAUAAUAUCUACUUCAGGCCAGGCACUGUGGCUCACACCUGUAAUACCAGCCCUUUGGAAGGCCAAGGCGGAUGGAUCGCUUGAGCUCAGGAGUUCAAGACCAGCCUGGGCAACAUGGCAAAACCUCCAUGAAAAAUACAAAAAAGUAGACGGGUGUGGUGACAUGCACCUGUAGUCCCAGCUACUUGGGAAGCUGAGGCACGAGAAUCUCUUGAACCU